AGAGGGUGCGAGCGUUGUCCGGAAUCACUGGGCGUAAAGGGCGCGUAGGUGGCCUGGUAAGUAGGGGGUGAAAUCUCGUGGCUCAACUGCGAGGCUGCCUCCUAAACUGUCAGGCUCGAGCAGAGUAGAGGCAGGUGGAAUUCCCGGUGUAGCGGUGGAAUGCGUAGAGAUCGGGAAGAGACAUCGGUGGCGAAGGCGGCCUGCUGGGCUCUUGCUGACACUGAGGCGCGACAGCGUGGGGAGCAAACAGGAUUAGAUACCCUGGUAGUCCACGCCGUAAACGAUGGGUACUAGGCGCCGGGGGGAGCGACCCCUUCGGUGCCGUCGCUAACGCAAUAAGUACCCCGCCUGGGGAGUACGGCCGCAAGGCUG
rnacentral:rRNA from 1 species